AAAAAUGAUAAUUCCCAAACUAAUUGUGAAUCAUAUCUCUAAAAAUAACAGUCACGCUGUCUGUUAUUGCAGAUCUGUGAGUUUCCAGAUGGAAGCACAGGUUCAGAUUCUUUCUUCCUUCAGCUGCUCGGCUCGUAUCUCCUCCGCAGCCGCAGCUUCCCUCAUCUUCUUACCAAAUUUAGCUUAGUGUCGAGGUUUCCAGCACUGCCAAACAGUCCUGCUGGCCUGCAGCGAUCAGCCUGCUCAGAGCUGUCUGUUAUCCAGCGCCGCCGUCGGCUGCUGCCAAGUUCCAGCACUUGUGCUCAGUUUGCUCCGUCCAGCUGGCCGACCACCUCCGGCCGUCACACAGACUUUACAGUGUGAGCAGACACUGACCCAGCUGGCUGCGGGGGUCACAGUUUCCUCACCUCUGACCCUAAAACCUUCAAAACUGUCGUAUCUUGUUAUAAUAAAUCUGUUUGGGCUGGAUUAAAAAUCCUGUGAUAUUAACACAUUGCAGGAUUUAAUUUCUAAGCGAUCAUUUGUGGAAAAAGAAGUUAUUUAGUGGUUUCCUAUAUUUCCCAGCAUGCCGUAUGGUAACCCUGUGUUGAGGAGUUUCAUGCUUUAAGCUGCUGGUUAGUUGCACAACUUAGAAACACAACAAUAAGAUGUAAAAAAAAAAUAUGUGAAAAGUAGCUUGUAUGUAGAGUUUGUAGUCCUAAUCAGGGUUAACACCGGGGUCAGAGGUCAGGUUAACCUCAAUCUGGUGGUGUUUUUUUUUUUUUUUUAAUGUAUGAAAUAAAGAUGAGAUUCUGGUGGAGAACCCGACUGGCUCAGCACCAGCAGACUGCACAGGACUGCUCUACAAAUAUGUUUUUGUGUGGUUGCUAAAAAUACUGUCGCUAUUUACAAAGUAAUCUAAUCUAACCCAGUUUCUGUUUUUAGAUAAUGCUUCUGUUGUUGAUCUUUCCAGCUCAUCCUUGAAACUUUUUGUCUGACCUGCUCUUCAGUUCAGCUCCUGUUGAGUCAGCUUCUCCACCUUCAACAGGCUGCUGAUUUAAGGUGGAACAGGCUGUUGAUUUAAGGUGAAACAGGCUGUUGAUUUAAGUUGAAACAGGCUGCAGAUUUAAGGUGAAACAGGCUGCAGAUUUAAGGUGAAACAGGCUGCAGAUUUAAGGUGAAACAGGCUGCAGAUUUAAGGUGAAACAGGCUGCAGAUUUAAGGUGAAACAGGCUGCAGAUUUAAGGUGAAACAGGCUGCAGAUUUAAGGUGAAACAGGCUGCAGAUUUAAGGUGAAACAGGCUGCAGAUUUAAGGUGAAACAGGCUGCAGAUUUAAGGUGAAACAGGCUGCAGAUUUAAGGUGAAACAGGCUGCUGAUUUAAGGUAUAAUCUAAAGAGGAGAUGGCGGUUGAUUCAUGGUGAAACAGGUUGUUAUUUUCAGGUUAUAUAGGACAUAAAUGUAUCCGGUUGAUCAGUUAUGGUUAUGCUCUGUGAAACAUUACUGAGACAGUUUUAAAGCAUCUUAAUUUGACUCAGCCAAGCUGCUGUCAGCUGUUUGAAUGUCACAAUAGAAACGUCUCAGAGUUCAGUGUUACUGCUCGACGUUUCCAAGAGACUCUUUCUGUUGGAACCACUGCAGCCAAAUCAGGAGACACUGCGAGUCUGUUUCUCCACCACAGACGGGAACAGAUGACACCACGCGGACUAAAACUCAGACUAAACACAAAGUGAAGACUGGAAAAGGAGUGAAGUAUUGUCUCACUAUUGGACAGUUUACAGAGAAGACAGACAGGAAGAUUACAGAGAGAGACAGAUGGAGGGGUGGUUCUUCCUGUGAACAGCUAAAUUUGGGACACAGACGUCACAUCUGGAUGUUUCCAGCUGCUCAGUAGAAAGUUAAAAUCUUUAUUUAUCUAAAACAGUUCAAGUUGCUCAGAAUCAGUCAGAAAAUAAAAACAAAUAUUUGAGCUGUAGUACCGAGUUUUACCACCAGGUGUCGUACGCUCCCGUUGGAACAUAACAAGAGUGGCAGCGUUCCUGCAAAUGUUUCACAAUAAAAGCCUUAUUAAGAAAUAAAUCGUUUUGUCUGAAAAUGCCAGAGGACUUUUAAUUUGAAACGGAUACAGGAAGUGCAGUGAAGUUGCACGUGCUCAGUAGCGAUUGGACACUCGCAAAUGGUGUUAGAGGAUGUGGAUGAAACAGGGUCGUAUUUAAAAGGAACAUCAAGUUAACUGUAGCCGUAGUGCCGCAACAAGAGCCGGCAGCAUCUCGCUGUCAUGACAAGGUUUUUCUUUUUGACAAAUAAAUACAAUUUUGGAAAUUACGAGAAUAAAGUCGUAAUAUUACGAGAAUAAAGUACAAAAGAAGCAA